rnacentral:rRNA from 1 species
UACGUAGGGUGCAAGCGUUAAUCGGAAUUACUGGGCGUAAAGCGUGCGCAGGCGGUUGUGCAAGACAGAUGUGAAAUCCCCGGGCUCAACCUGGGAACUGCAUUUGUGACUGCAUCGCUGGAGUGCGGCAGAGGGGAUGGAAUUCCGCGUGUAGCAGUGAAAUGCGUAGAUAUGCGGAGGAACACCGAUGGCGAAGGCAAUCCCCUGGCCUGCACUGACGCUCAUGCACGAAAGCG